GAACGGUAAUAGAAUAUCAAUAUUUGUACAGCGCUUUAUUCUUACAAUAAGUAACCUUAUAGAGCUCUGUGCGAUUUGAAUAGCAAGACGAACGUAAAUUCUAAGAAGAAAUCAAAUCAAUUUACAAAAGAGUGGAGGAAAAACAAUCGUGAUCUACUGGAUAGCGGUUGUCAAGUGAGCAAAAUAUCAGCUUUUUAAAACUAAUUAAGAUAAAAUCUCGUGAAAUUUUUCCGCAUAACGCACAGGAAAUCGCCGAGAUGUUUAGCAAUUUACGGAAAGUGGAAAGAAACUUGAAAACAAUUGAUUGGGCAGUGUCUACUAUUUUAAAAGAAAAAGCAAAAAAUGUGGAAACAUCACGUGACUUUCCAAAGAGAAAAGAUUGUCAAUUAGAUCAAAAAGGGUUAAAGUGAUCACAGAAAUCAUGAUUCAAGCAAGGCCAACAAGUUUAAACGAAAAAGUAUAUAUUAAAUGAACACUAGUGUAAUUAUUAACAAUGAUAAAUUCGUAAUAAAAAUACUUCCACUAACCUGCUGUAUUUUAAUUUGCCGCCAAAAAUUAUCAUACGACAGUUUCUGGAUGAGGUUUUCCGUCUA